UUAAACUAAAUAUUUUUUUUGGUUACUCAUAAAUGAGAAGAUGUAAAGCCCCGUUCCAUCCGUUACGAAUUUUCUCCGACAACACAAUCACAUUCUCUCUACCUCAUCAAUUGUUAGUUAUCAAAUUGCAAAGAUACUAUUAUCGUCAUCAAGAAGCUUAUUAUUAUCCUCAUCAUCCACAAACCUUCUCUUCCAUCUUCUCCUCAAAUAUCAGAUUUUAGAUCUUCUCCUCAAAUAUCAGAUUUUAGAGAUCAGGAAGGAUCAGGAAGGCUCGAGAAAGGAUGAUUUGUUAGAGGAUUAUCCAGCGUUGUUGCUCCUGAGAUUUGUAGCCCUAGCAUUACGCUGGAUUUGGAUGACGGGAUUGAGAGGAUCCGACGAGAGUUCGAGGAUGCGGAGAAGAGCUUUCUUAAUAUUCCACUGGCGCUCAAGGAGAUGCCCGGGAUGAAUCCCGAAGGUGAAGCGAUACGUCACUGUCACGUUGAUUUUUAGUAUUUUGACCUGAAAGUUCCCUUUUUUUUUGGACGUGCAUGUGAAAAUUUUGUUGUGGGUGCUUUUUUUUAGUGCUAAAUUUAUGAUGAGAUCAAAAGAUUCCUAUCAGAUGUUCAUUUUAAACCUUAUUGGUUGGAAAAUAUAGUAGUUAGCUAAAAAGUUGUUUUGAUUUAUGUGUUAAUUG